GCGGCAAUAGCUCAAAUUUGAAAUCUGGCGUCUUCGGCGUCCGAGUUGUAAUUUGAAGAAGGUAUCUUUGAGGCUGGCUCUUGUCUAUGUUCCUUGGAACAGGACGUCACAGAGGGUGAGAAUCCCGUGCGAUGAGAUGCCCAGUUUCGUGUAAAGUUCCUUCGACGAGUCGAGUUGUUUGGGAAUGCAGCUCUAAGUGGGUGGUAAAUUCCAUCUAAAGCUAAAUAUUGGCGAGAGACCGAUAGCGAACAAGUACUGUGAAGGAAAGAUGAAAAGAACUUUGAAAAGAGAGUGAAAAAGUACGUGAAAUUGUUGAAAGGGAAGGGCUUGAGGUCAGACUUGGUUUACCAGGCCAGCAUCAGUUUGGAUGGCAGGAUAAUAGCUAAGGAAUGUGACACCAUCUCGGUGGUGUGUUAUAGCCUUGGUUGAUACUGCCUGUCUAGACUGAGGACUGCGUCUUUGACUAGGAUGCUGGCAUAAUGACCUUAAGCCGCCCG
rnacentral:rRNA from 1 species